GAAGCCCGCCCCCACGUUUCCGGGAGCCCGGCGGACGCUGGGUCUGCAGAUGCCAUCCAGGCGCACGGCGGGUAUAGUGGUUCCGCAACCUUGGGAUGUUCGGCUGAGCGCCUGCCUAACAUGGGAGCGCCUGCCUAACCCUCCUGACUGGAGGGUCAGCGGCGGGGAGUCCUGGCCUUCAAUCGGCCAUCGCCACGGCAGAAACUGGGGCCCGGGCUGCGUCCAGGCCCUUCCCCGUCCGUCCACAGGUCUCAUGGGCGCCCGGACUGGGGCUGAUGUAGUUUCCCGACCUCUGACACAUAGGAUCUGGAGAUUAAAGCUGCUCUGCUAAUAAUUAGGUUCCCACCUCUCAAGAUCAUUAGGAGCUUCUUUUCCAAUUCCUCUGUUUUGCAUGCAUUGGAAGGAUCUGGAGCUCAGGACCCACUACCUCCCCGGCCCACUGCAAGCUUGAACAUUUGAUGGUGGACACCCCUCCCUGACUUUGUAUUAUGUGUCACUGGUGUGGGGGUUACCUUCCCACUAUGUCUCCCAGAAGACAUGAGGGCACAGACUACAGUGCCUGUGGACAGAGGAGCUGUGGGGAUGGAAGUGUGAUUGCUUCAUUCAAAUGCACGCCCCGGUGCGUGUGCGUCUCUUCUGAUGCAGCUCCCCAUGGAUACCCCAUCAGCCUGAGUCUCUUAAAGGCCUUUAUACACAUAUGUCUACACAUAGGGAUUUGGAUGAUCUCGGGAUCCCACAUCCUCGCUGUCCCCUGUCCCCCCACAACAUCCCACACCAAUACCUUUCUGAAGUUUUCUAGUCCCUCCUUUUUGUUUGUGGUCCUUAAAGCCCAGCCCCAUGCCUGACUUUGGUUCCCAGUGAGCAUUGUACAUUUGUGGAUAUUAAAUCUUUGGCAAAGUCAUUUACCUGGGCUGGAAUAGGGCUCUUGGCUGAUUCUUUUUCCUAAACACCCACCCAAUGGGAGAGGCUGAUACUCAACAUGCAAACCUUGUGUUUUAUUUCUCCAGGCGAAGGGAUGUUGGAAGACAUUCUGGAAGGGGUGGGGUGUGAAGAUUUACAAAUAAUCUUUGAAUAUCUGCUUCAUGAUAGGUCUUGGAGGUGCCUUGUGGGUGUGGCUUUGGGGGGAUGGUUACGAGGAAAUUGUGGAUAUUAAGGAAGUCAGGAAAGGAAAAGAUCAGUCACAAUUCAACAAUUCAGAGAAAGCUCCUAAGGGACUUUCUGGCUGCUUGAUGCCCAGAGGCCAGGCCCUCACUUCGUAUUAAGGCUCAGGACUGUGGAUAGAGAAUUUAAAGGGGCACCAAAAAAACAUUAAAAUAGAUAAACAUAUUUUUAAUGGAAUACCUUUAAAAAUGCAAAUCAAUGCACAAAGAAAACGCCCA
rnacentral:lncRNA from 1 species